UACGAAGGGGGCUAGCGUUGUUCGGAAUUACUGGGCGUAAAGGGCGCGUAGGCGGCGUGUCAAGUCAGGCGUGAAAGCCCCGGGCUCAACCUGGGAACCGCGCUUGAGACUGGCAUGCUCGAGUUCGGGAGAGGAUGGUGGAAUUCCCAGUGUAGAGGUGAAAUUCGUAGAUAUUGGGAGGAACACCGAUGGCGAAGGCAGCCAUCUGGACCGACACUGACGCUGAGGCGCGAAAGCGUGGGGAGCAAACAGG
rnacentral:rRNA from 1 species